UAUGAUUCAAAUAUACUUCCCCAAACCCCCAUCCAUGCAAAGAUAAAACAGUCCUUUUUAUUUCUGUCACAUUUAUAAUAAUUGCAUAAAUUUUUUUUAAAUAUUCACGAUUUAAUUUACGUGCAUCUUAGAGUCUCUUUCCCUCCCUCUCUUAUUCAAUCACUGCUACAAUUUUUUUUCCCUGUAUAUUCAUAUUCAAGACUCAGCAAAAGGGAGUUUGGUAAA
rnacentral:misc_RNA from 1 species